rnacentral:lncRNA from 1 species
CCCAGAUGAACCAUUGCUGCCCUUGCCUUGGCUGUGCUAAUGGUGACCCUGAAGGAGAAGCCACAAAUUACAAACCUCACUAUCAUACUGUAUAACAAUCCCCAAGGAAUCUACGUGCCCCAGCAAGUGUCUAAGGUGUCCUUAGCUCUAGAAGGUUUGAGAAGGAGUCUCCUUAUGGAUAUACAGCAGUGCUGCCACUGCCCUGAGUUCCAGCACUGAGUGAAGGCUGGCAUGGGCUGCUGCUCUGCUACAGGAAAGUUCCUGCUGGGAUAUUUCAGCCUCAGUUGGAAAGGCACACCUGUCUUUAUUUCCUGGGGCCAGCACUGGUUCAGCCACCAGAGGACACACAGGGAAGCAGCUGCAUGGAGGAUAACUCCACUUGGAUGGAUGUUUUCCUCCUCCCAGCCUCUGCAGGUGGAGCACAGGGGAAGAAGCAGCAUGUGCAGGCAGAGAGGGGCUACUUCAUGGUCUGGUUUCAUACAUGUGGCUUCCUUCAUCUACAAUCCCAGACAGGCAGGAUUUGUGCUGCUUCUUUAUUCUGAUGACAGCUGCUCUUCCUUUGCACUUGCCCACCAAGUGAUUAAGAACCUUUUAUCGCCAAAAAUGGUGUUAUUGUCACGAAUAAGUGGAAUAACGUAAAGCAAUUAAUUGUGCUGAAACCCACACUCUGAAAUGUCUGAAGUGAUUAAACGUGUUUUUAUGAUGAAAUUUUCAAAAUAUUCAAAAUAUUUUCAAUACCAUGCAAGCUGAUUUUGAGGAGUGGGG